ACUUUGGUGGUGUGGUCACUUUCAAUAAGACAUAUUUCUCGACCAUCAACGGUUACUCUAACUUGUUCUUCAUGUGGGGAGGUGAAGAUGAUGACUUGUUUCACAGAUUGUCGAAGAAGAAAAUGCCGUAUGAACACAGCAAAUAUCCUCGUUACACUAAUUUGACGCAUAAGAAAGAUCCCCAUCACACAAGCCAAGAAAUGGCUGUCUAUAGAACAAGCCGUGAACGAUUUGACAAGGACGGUCUCAACAGUAUGGAACGGCUAUAUCGGUUAAUAUCUGUGGAAAAACGUCCUCUAUACACCCGAAUAUAUGUUUCUGUCAAUCAAACGGAAGUACUUACUCGGGUGAAGCAUUUUGGCAUCGAAUUAUGAAUGCUUCAAAAUUUGUAUAUUUUACUGAACAAUAAU